rnacentral:misc_RNA from 1 species
UACAGAGGUGGCGAGCGUUGUUCGGAUUCAUUGGGCGUAAAGGGUCCGUAGGCGGUUCGGAAAGUCAGAUGUGAAAUCCUACAGCUCAACUGUGGAACUGCAUUUGAAAUUCCCGAACUCGAGUGUGAGAGGGGUAAAGGGAAUUCCCGGUGUAAGGGUGAAAUCUGCAGAGAUCGGGAGGAACACCAGUCGCGAAGGCGCUUUACUGGCUCAUUACUGACGCUGAGGGACGAAAGCCAGGGGAGCAAACGGG